rnacentral:lncRNA from 1 species
GGGACCGAAGUCGAUGGGUUCAGUGGCAACAACAGCGUCGGCCUUGGGACGAAGACCUCGGUUCUCCGUGGACUCGGUAACGGCUCUAGACUCAGCGCGUGCCAACUCAGGGUCUCUAUAUCCUGGAUUAGAGUGUGAAAAGAGGCUUUGACAAAUUCUCUCAAUGUCCUGGAGUGAGAAUUCACUCCAAGGUGUGAACAAUCACUAAGCACGGCGAGAAGAAAAAAGCAGAUUUUACUCAAAACUAAAGGAAAGGAGGGACACAUCAGGUUUUGUUGAUACAACUAAGGCUUAAGGGUGUGAAUUACCAGAAGCACCAACCUGCUCCUGAGAGUUUGCCCUAAGGUCGAGGACAAGGGUGGUACGCUCGCGGGGAUGAACCGCGGGGGGAUCAGGCGAGGUAACGCAGAGUGCUGGACCACUGGCGAGAGUCGGUGUCGGAGUCAACGGCCGGGAAUCGGUCUCGGCGUAGUGCCGGAAGAGUUCUUCGGGGACGGCCGUCGCAUCGGGUGCCGCAUGAUCGGCAAUACCACGCGAGAUGCGGCGGUUUCCGCUUUGCGAUCGACCUCCGGCCAGCAGAGUAGCUCGGAUGAGUUCCAUCUCCGCGGGGAGAAGCAGUGCCUUGCCCUCUGUAGCCUGACGAAGAGAUGACGCAAUCCUUCGCACGGCGCACGACAUCCUUGGCCUCCCCGUCCGCAGGAUGAUUGCACAGUACAGAACAUCCGUAGGGAUACGGAUUGAACAGACCCGAGAAUGGCCGAAGAACGAACGGAGCCGGUUUCGUGCAUCCAGAG